rnacentral:lncRNA from 1 species
AUGCUCCUGAGACUGGUUAAAGGAUGCUUCCUUCCUUCCUUCAAGUUUCAUACACCAUCUCUGCUUGAAUCUCUGGGGCCAGACUUCUUUUCUUGCUCUUUGUUAGAAACAUAUAUGAAGUGACACAGACAUCCUUCUACAGAGUAGGUAGCUGAUCUUGAUCCAGAUUCAAGUCAGAGUUAUUUACAUGUAACCGAGAGAUGCAGCUUAUCUGUGUCUUUUUCAAUAUCUUCCUCUGUCUUCGAAGAAAAUUACCCCAGACCAUUACUAGCAGUUACUUGAUCCUAGACUUGUAAUUGAUAUACCUAUACCAUUUACUGAUUAGCACUCCUCCUAUAAAAAUCAUUUAUUUUCCCUACCCUCCUCCUAUCAUAAAGGACUUACCUAUGUUACCAUGUUAACACCCCAUGUCUCAUCACCAGUACCAACUUCCUGUCUUCCUAUCACACAUUUCCAUUCUCCCCUCUUCUGUUUCCUCCAGAUAUAAUGAAGACUAUCAGACCAUGGGGCUUCAUUUUCUCACUUUUUUCAGUUUCCUUCUUCUUCCAGAUGCUCACAUUGACCUCAGCAUGGAGUCACUCUUCAUUAAGCAAAUAUGUCCUCUUAAACAAAAGAGACAAAAGGAUUCUACUCCAAAGGAAUAUAAACAGCAUGUUGCAGAGCAGUUCCAAGGAUAACCAUAUCUAAAGAGCUAGACUGGUGUAGCAAAGGAGUUUGUAGCUCUGAUCUGAAAUCAAGAAAAUUAGUCCCAAGUUAGUCUAGGAAAACACACCAUGAAGGACGUGUUCUAGGUAAGAUACCUUAUUCCUCUCUAGCACCUCUCCUGCACCUAUGUAGGUGUGAGAUUAUAUUCACAAUUUUUUUUCAAUGUAGUGUUAAAUUCCAAAUGUUAAUUUUUCAGAUUUCAACAGACAGGGGAAAGAAAAGGGAAGAUUGAGAGGAAGAGAGAGAAAAAGGGAAACCAAGAAAGAGAGAAGAAAGUAGCCGGGAGGGAUGUAGAAGAAGCAUCAUUUUGCCCAAUUUCUAAUUAUCCAGUACACACACA